AAACCAACAGGGAUUGCCUUAGUAGCGGCGAGUGAAGCGGCAAAAGCUCAGAUUUGAAAGCCUUCUUGGCAUUGUAUUCUGAAGCCUCAAUCCUGGGAAACCGGUGCCCAAGUCUCCUGGAAAGGAGCGCCAUAGAGGGUGAUAGCCCCGUACGGUACUGACCCCAUUGUAGGAUUGUGGCAUGGAGUCGAGUUGUUUGGGAAUGCAGCUUAAACGGGUGGUAUGCUCCAUCUAAAGCUAAAUAUCUGCGAGAGACCGAUAGCGAACAAGUACUGUGAAGGAAAGAUGAAAAGAACUUUGAAAAGAGAGUGAAAAAGUACGUGAAAUUGUUGAAAUGGAAGGGUAGGCCGCUAACCACGCAGAAUCGUGUUCGAGGGGAGGAUAAAAGCUAGGAAAUGUGGCUCCUCGGAGUGUUAUAGUCCUGGCCAAUACUCCCACUCGGGCGCGAGGAUCUCAGAUUCUGCUAAAUAGUGGUCUACCAC
rnacentral:rRNA from 1 species